rnacentral:rRNA from 1 species
CCCUUAGAUGUUCUGGGCUGCACGCGCGCUACACUGAUACUUUCAGCGAGCCCACCACCUUGCCUGGGAGGGUGGGGUAACCUCUGGAAAGUGCAUCGUGAUGGGGAUCGAUUAUUGUAAUUAUUAAUCUUCAACGAGGAAUUCCUAGUAAGCAUGUGUCAUCAGCCCGUGCUGAUUACGUCCCUGCCCUUUGUACACACCGCCCGUCGCCCCUACCGAUUGAGUGAUCCGGUGAAUUAUUCGGACUGUAACGCAUUCAGUUCCUGGAUGCAGUUACGGGAAGUUUUGUGAACCUUACCACUUAGAGGAAGGAGAAGUCGUAACA